rnacentral:sRNA from 1 species
UUUUUUUCUUCUUCAUUCCUUG